rnacentral:lncRNA from 1 species
GUUAUCAUUAUUAUCAUUUCUUUGUUCACAUUUCAAUUCUUAAUCUUCUUUUUUUUUCUUUUUGUUUUUGAAUUAAAUUGACAGUUGUACUACGUUGUCUUUUCAAACAUGGUAAACACAUUAUAGAAAUUGUUGUUAAGUCCACGACUUGUCUUGGAUUUUUUAUGUAAUAAUUCAAUUGCUUUUGUGACUUGUGAUUGUGGUGAAAGUUGUCCGAACUCAAAGUAGGUCCCAUGUUAAGCUACGAGUCAUGAAAUUACAUAAUUCUAGUAGUAAAUAUUUGAUUGAGAUUUUGAAAAUAAUCA